rnacentral:rRNA from 1 species
AUUGAACGCUGGCGGCAUGCCUUACACAUGCAAGUCGAACGGUAACAGGUCUUCGGAUGCUGACGAGUGGCGAACGGGUGAGUAAUAUAUCGGAACGUGCCCAGUUGUGGGGAUAACUACUCGAAAGAGUGGCUAAUACCGCAUACGACCUGAGGGUGAAAGCGGGGGAUCGCAAGACCUCGCGCAAUUGGAGCGGCCGAUAUCAGAUUAGGUAGUUGGUGGGGUAAAGGCCCACCAAGCCGACGAUCUGUAGCUGGUCUGAGAGGACGACCAGCCACACUGGGACUGAGACACGGCCCAGACUCCUACGGGAGGCAGCAGUGGGGAAUUUUGGACAAUGGACGCAAGUCUGAUCCAGCCAUGCCGCGUGCGGGAAGAAGGCCU